CUGUAAGUGGUGCAAUGGUUUGAACAUUGGACUAAGACUCUGGGAGACCAGGGUUCAAAUCCUGGCUCAGACA